rnacentral:rRNA from 1 species
AUUGAACGCUGGCGGCAGGCCUAACACAUGCAAGUCGAGCGGAUGAGAAGAGCUUGCUCUUCGAGUUAGCGGCGGACGGGUGAGUAAUGCCUAGGAAUCUGCCUGGUAGUGGGGGACAACGUUUCGAAAGGAACGCUAAUACCGCAUACGUCCUACGGGAGAAAGCAGGGGACCUUCGGGCCUUGCGCUAUCAGAUGAGCCUAGGUCGGAUUAGCUAGUUGGUGAGGUAAUGGCUCACCAAGGCGACGAUCCGUAACUGGUCUGAGAGGAUGAUCAGUCACACUGGAACUGAGACACGGUCCAGACUCCUACGGGAGGCAGCAGUGGGGAAUAUUGGACAAUGGGCGAAAGCCUGAUCCAGCCAUGCCGCGUGUGUGAAGAAGGUCUUCGGAUUGUAAAGCACUUUAAGUUGGGAGGAAGGGCAGUAAGCGAAUACCCUGCUGUUUUGACGUUACCGACAGAAUAAGCACCGGCUAACUCUGUGCCAGCCGCCGCGGUAACAC